rnacentral:rRNA from 1 species
GACGAACGCUGGCGGCGUGCCUAAUACAUGCAAGUAGAACGCUGGAGGAGGAGCUUUCUUCUCUGGAUGAUUUGCGAACGGGUGAGUAACGCGUAUGUAACCUGCCUGGUAGCGGGGGAUAACUCUUGGGAACGAUAGCUAUUACCGCAUAAUAGCAGUUAUUGCAUGAUAACUGUUUGAAAGGUGCAAUUUUACCACUACCAGAUGGUCCUGCGUUGUAUUAGCUAGUUGGUGGUGUAACGGCUCAACAAGGCGACGAUGCAUAGCCGACCUGAGAGGGUGAUCGGCCACACUGGAACUGAGACACGGUACAGACUCCUACGGGAGGCAGCAGUAGGGAAUCUUCCGCAAUGGGCGAAAGCCUGACGGAGCAACGCCGCGGGAGUGAUGAAGGUCUUCGGAUCGUAAAACUCUGUUAUUAGGGAAGAACAUAUGUGUAAGUAACUGUGCACAUCUUGACGGUACCUAAACAGAAAGCCACGGCUAACUACGUG